GGUCAAGAUAUAAAGGGCAUACGGUGGAUGCCUUGGCGCCAAGAGCCGAAGAAGGACGCGGUUAACAGCGAAAUGCCACGGGGAGUCGUAAGCAGGCAUAGAUCCGUGGAUGUCCGAAUGGGGCAACCCAUCCAGAGUCAUAUUUGGAUAUCCUGUACUGAAUAAAUAGGUACAGCGAAGGCAAGUCGGGGAACUGAAACAUCUAAGUACCCGGAGGAAAAGAAAGAAUAAUCGAUUCCCAGAGUAGCGGCGAGCGAAACGGGACUAGCCCAAACCAAUCCAGAAGACAGAGGCCAGAAGCCAGAGGUCAGAAUGCAAGCAAGCAUCUGGCGUCCGGAAUCUGAUUUCUGACUUCUGGGUUGGGGUUGUAGGACUCUCAAAACGGGACAGUGUUUUUAGCUGAAGCGAACUGGAAAGUUCCGGCAUAGGAGGUAAAACCCCUGUAAGCGAAAAGAAGACUGGCUUAGAGAGUAUCCUGAGUACCGCGGGACACGAGAAACCCCGUGGGAAGCAGGGGAGACCACUCCCCAAGGCUAAAUACUACUUGGCGACCGAUAGUGAACAAGUACCGUGAGGGAAAGGUGAAAAG
rnacentral:rRNA from 1 species